GGGGCUGUGGCUCAGUGGUAGAGCACUUGCCUAGCAUGCGUGAGGCACUGGGCUCAAUUCCUGGCACCA
rnacentral:tRNA from 1 species